UGGAACCCUUAAACAAAAUACAAUGGUAAUGGGUUAAGGGUAAUAAAGAUGAGAAUGGCAGAGAAAAUUUCUUUUUGCACUGUUUGAAUCUGCUCGAUUGUUAACAUUGGGAGAGAAAGAUCAACGUUCAUCAUUUUGUGUUUCUUCCUUUUUUCACGGUGUGAAAUGGUAAUAAAAAUCAAAUCCAAAACCCUAACAUUUCGUCUUCCAUUACCCCUCCAAUCUGUUCAUUUUCACUAGAAGAAGAAAAAGUUGUGGUCCAAAUCACACUAAGGAAAGUCGUAUUGCUCUAAGGAAACAACUAAGACCCAAUCCUUUGCACGAUUGUAGGUGACUGUGAGUAUCAAUUUCUUUUCUUUUCUUUAUAUUUUGUACAUAAUAAAAUCAACCAUCAGUCCAUUUUCACUCUCCACAUAUUGGUUAAUAUUUAAAAUGAAUGGGUGGGGUUCAUUGUUGUUUCACGUGAGUUUUGAUUUUAUCUGCUUUUAUUAUAUGGUCUGCAUUUUUUUUAUCUGCUUUCAUUGUUGUUUCACUCUCCACAAACAUAACACUCUCUUACUCUCUGUCGAACACACUUAUAUACCAAUUUUUUUACUCUUCUCAUACCCAUCAAUUUUCUUGUUUUUGUUAAUUUAUGAUUUUGUAUUGAAUAUUAUCUUUGAUUUUUCAAUUGCACUUGAAUCUUAUUUUGGUUUGUGAAAUAUAAAUAAUUUUGGUCUUGUUGGAUUUGUUGAUAAAAACUGUAGAAGUGGUAGUUAUUGUCAUCUUAAUGAAGGAAUUAGUGUAAACUAAUUGCGAAAGUUACAUUUCAUUUAUCAUCUUAAUGAAGGAAUUAGUGCAAAUGAAUUGCAAAAGUUACAUUUCAUUUAUCAUGUUGAUUACUAUUUUUAUCAGCAACUAUUAUACAAAUAUUUUUCAUUUUAGUUCCUUAAGUUAUUUUAAGUUUCACUUUAGUGUCUUAAGUUUUGUUUAUUUUAUUUUGUUCACUUAAGUUAUAAACGAUAUACAUUUUGGUCCCUUAAGUUAUUGUUAUCUUGUGUUCGUCCAUUAAGUUAUAAACGUCAAACAUUUUGGUCUCUUAAAUUACAAAAAUUAGUCAUUUUGAUUCCUUAAGUUACAAUAUUAGACACUAUUAGAAAUUAUCUAAGUGUUAUAAUGUGUGUAAUAUAAGCGACCAAAGUGUUGAAUGUUUGUAACUUAAAGAACUAAAAUUGAAUGAAAAUAAUUUGAGGGACCAAAGUAUCUAAAGAUUGUAACUUAAGGGAAUAAAAUGAAACGAACAAAACUCAAAGGACUAAAAUGAAACCUAAAAAUAACAUAAACAUUACACCAUCACCAGCCCAAACUACAACACCACCCCAAAAUCCAACUCCAACUCCAACUCCAACUCCAACGCCUUCACCAUCCCAACAUCCAACUCCAACAACAUCACCAUCCCAAAAUCCAUCCUCAACACCAUCACCUAUUCUACCUCAAACUUCUGAAUAAAAUUUGUCACACACUCAAUCAACAAUCAUUGAAUCCGAGGAAGAUGAACAAGUUGAACAAGAAUGUCUUCAAGAAAUAGAGCCUUAUGGAAAUGAGUUUAAUCCAUCAACUGCUACACAUUUCCUUUCAAAUUCCCUUAAGAGCAAGUUUGAUUUGUUUUGUCCUACAUGGAGACAUGCAACAAGUGGUAUGCGAGAUUUAUGGUUUUCUGAAUUUAAGAAGUAUUGUAGAUGGGACUCUAAAUAUGAUGCAAGGAUUCGCCAAAUUUUUUAUAUUAAGGGAGAAGAGAGGCAAAAUUAUGCAAAAAAAUCCAGAAUACAAGCCAAAAUACAUUCCUACACCAAUAUGGAACAAUUAAUACAUCAUUGGGCAUCAGAUAAAAAGUUUAAGAAUUUAACUGUGACAAACAUCGCAAAUCAUAAUUCAAACAAAGGUAGCUCUAUACAUACAGGUGGUUCUAUAUCUAUGGAAUAGCAUGCGUGUAGGAUGGAAGAAGCCACAAGAGUCAAACCUACUAUGGAGGAAAUAUUUGCUAAAUGUCAUAAAAAAGGAUAAGUCUUGGGUUGAUAAUAUAGCUGAGAAAGCCUAUGAUGAUUUUAGAAAGAGAAAAACAGAGCUUUUGGAAGUAUCUUUGUCUCAAAAUGAAGAUGGAGAAGAAUUGUCAUGUGAAAUCCAGAAUAUGCCAAAAGAUUUGACUAUUUGGAAGGAAGUAGUUCCUAAAAGUAAAAUACAAAAAUUAUAUGGUUUAGGUUCUAUUGGUACAAAUGUCUCUUCAAAGUGUACUAGUGGUUCAUUCCCAAUUUCCUCUAAGGAAACAAACAUGAACAAGAGUUAGUAAAACGGAAAGAAAAGGUGAAAGAGCAAAAACUUAUUAAUCAAGACAAAAAACACAAAUUGGAGCAACGACAAAAGAGAAUUGAGUCAAAUGAAAGCAUGUUUGUUGCUUUAUUUGGAAAGUUGAAUAUGUCAUUGCCUCCAAACUUUGCUUAUGGGACACCUAUGCAUGAUGAACCAAAUGAAAUUGGUGAAACCUCUAAUAGAAAUAGUGGUGAUAAUUUUGGAUUUGAUUGAUAAAUUUGAUUUAGAUCUAUGAUAGUCUUUAAAUGACUUUAGUA